UACAGAGGGGGCAAGCGUUGUUCGGAAUUACUGGGCGUAAAGGGCGCGUAGGCGGCGUGACAAGUCACUUGUGAAAUCUCCGGGCUUAACUCGGAACGGCCAAGUGAUACUGUCGUGCUAGAGUGCAGAAGGGGCAAUCGGAAUUCUUGGUGUAGCGGUGAAAUGCGUAGAUAUCAAGAGGAACACCUGAGGUGAAGACGGGUUGCUGGGCUGACACUGACGCUGGAGGCGCGAAAGCUAGGGGAGCAAAACGGG
rnacentral:rRNA from 1 species